rnacentral:sRNA from 1 species
AUGGAAGAAGGUGAUUUAAUAUUUGAGAUUCACCACAGGGGAGGGUUCAAGAAUUUGAAUGGGUUAAUUUAUGUUGGUGGUGACAUAUCAAUUCAUGGUGAGGGAUAUGAUAGGGAUUGUAUGUCUUUUAUUGAGGUUGAGAGUAUUUUGAAGUCAUAUGGAUAUAAAAGGGAGGAUUUAGUUUAUUACAAACAAGUUGGCAUGAAUUUGGAUGAAGGGCUUGUGCAGAUAAAAAUAGAUCCAGACGUGUUGAAGAUGGUUGACUAUCAUAAAGGUGUAGAAAAUGUGGUAUUAUACACUGUUAGUCAAGAGAUUGAUAGUGAUUGCAUACCAUUUACUCAUAACUUACCUGAGAGUAUUAUUAUUGGUGGUAGCAAAAGGAAGGAAAAAGAGAAGUGUGUUUCUAAUGCUGCUGGUUUUAAUAGACCAAAAUUGCAAAUUAAGGGUGGGAAAAACAAGUCUACUAGUAGCAAUAGGAAAGGGAAGGAGAAGGUGUGUGAUGAUGUUGUCCCCCUAGGGUAUGAUGCCGAUGGUGACCUUGAUGUGGAUUGGAAUGAAAAUAUAGCUGAAGAUGAAUAUGACAGCUUGAAUGAAAGUGAAGAAGAGGAGGAGUUUGAUGUAGAAAACAAUAGAGCUUAUAAAGAUCCUUUCUGGGGUGAGGUACUAAGUGGUGAUGAAGACAUAUUUGAGCCAAUUGGGAAGGAAAAUGACCCUAAGAAGGUAUUGUAUUUGACACAUGAAGAGCAAAUGGGUAAGGAUUGUGGUUCUGAUAUUGGCAAAAGUGAUGAGCUGAUUUCUCCUAAGCCCACAUCUGAAGAAGAUAACUGUAACACCAACAAAAAUCUUGAAUUCAUUAAAUUGAUAUGGCCUGUCCAGAACUUGUGAAAGGUUUGAAGUUUGGUGACGUUGCCACUUUUAGAGCUGCUAUGAGAGAGGCCAACUUGAUUAAUGGCAAAGAUUUACGUUUGGUGAAGAACAAUAAAGACAAGGUGAUUGUGAGAUGUAAAGCUGAAGGGUGCAAAUAUAGGGUUUAUGGUUCUCAAGUAACAGAUGAAAUGACCUUCCAAAUUAAGACAUUGAACCCCACUCACACUUGCACUAGGGCAUACAAAAAUUCAGCAUGUACAUCAAGGUGGAUUUCUAAGAGGUAUAUGCAAAAGUUUAGAUAUGAUUUAAACUGCGCUACCGCUGGAUUGCAGAAGGAGAUUAAGGAUACGUUUCAUGUUGAUGUGGGUAGGAUGCAGGUGUAUAGAGCAAGGAAAAGUGCUAAAAAAAUAAUUGAUGGUGAUGAUAAUGAACAAUAUAAUAGAAUUUGGGACUAUUGUGAGACAUUAAAGGCUACAAAUGUGGGUACCACUACAUUGAUGUUGGUGGAUAGGCCUACUCUUGAUGUGGUAGGUACAUUUCAAAGGUUAUACAUUUGUCUCCAAGCUAAAAAAGAAGGGUUCAAGGCUGGAUGUAGACCCUUAAUUGGGCUAGAUGGAUGUUUCUUGAAGGGCAACCAAAAAGGACAAAUCUUAAGUGCUGUGGGAAGAGAUGCCAAUGAUAACAUGUACCCCAUUGCUAUGGCUUUUGUAGAAACUGAGAGCAAGGACAAUUGGUCUUGGUUCCUCGAUUGCUUGUUGAAGGAUCUUGGCCCAGUUGAACAACAUGGGUGGGCAUUUAUUUUAGAUAGACAAAAGGUAUGGGCAAUUUUCAUUAUUUUCAUUUAUUAAAUUUGGCCUUUAUAUAUUUUGUUAUUUUUAUUAAAGUAUUUGUCUUUUGUAUGUAGGGCUUGAUCCAAAGCUUUGACAUGGUAUGUCUUAUGGCAGAUCAUAGGUCAUGUGUGAGGCAUUUGUAUGCCAAUUAUAGAGAUAAAGGCCACAAGGGGAAAGCACUUAAGGACAAGCUGUGGGCUGCAGCUACAGCAUAUAUAGAGCAUGAGUUUCUUGAACAAAUGGGUGAGCUUAAGAAAUUGUGCCCAAAAGCUUAUGAAUAUUUGGAUAAUGUUGAUCCAUCCAUGUGGUCUAGGUCAUAUUUCACAGACUAUUCAAAGAGUGACUUGCUUGUAAAUAAUCUGUCAGAGAGUUUCAACUCAUACAUUUUAGAUGCUAGGGACAAGCCUAUAGUAACCAUGAUUGAAAAGAUUAGGAGAAAGCUGAUGAGGAGGUUCCAAUUGAAGAGGGAAGGGAUGUCUAAAUUGACAGGGAAAAUAUGUCCCAAAAUUCAAGCGAAGUUGGACAAUGAAGGUUUGAAGUCUUCUAAUUGUGUGUCAAUAUAUGCUGGAAAUGGUUUAUUUGAGGUUGAGUGCAAACAUCAAAGGUUUGUUGUGAACUUGAGCAAGAGGACAUGUGGUUGUAGGAAGUGGGAUCUUACUGGCAUCCCAUGUCAGCAUGCCAUAUCUGCCAUACUAUUUGAUAGAAGUGUACUUGAAGAUUAUGUGCAUCCUUAUUACACAAUUGAGACAUACAUGAAGGCAUAUGAACCAAUAAUUUACCCUGUGGCUAGUAUGGAACAGUGGAGAAGGACAUCAAUAGAUCCUUUGGAACCACCCAAGGAUAAGAUACAACGUGGUAGACCUAAGAUAAAGAGAAAGAGGCAUCCUUCAGAACCCCAAAACCCAUAUAAGCUAAGCAAGGCUGGUACCAUCAUCAAGUGCUCUGAGUGUAAGAAGGUGGGACAUAAUAGCAGAACAUGUCCAUCCAAAAAAGACAAGGUUAGUUUUGUGUGCUCUAUGUUAUGUUUGCCACCAUUAAUUCUUGAUACUUAUAUAUUGUUUUAUGUUAUAAUGUAGUGUACAGUGUCUACCAAUGCUAAGAAGACACCUACAAGAAACAAGAAGCAAGCAGCUGGAGGUGCAAGGGCAAUUGCUGCAAGUGCUAUAGAUUCAAAAGCGAGAGGUGUAAGAAUUGCUGCUGCAAGUGAUGUAGAUUCAAGGGCUGGAGGUUUAAGGAUUGUUGCUGCAAGUGUUGUAGAUUCAAGGGCUGGAGGUUCAAGGGCUGUUGCUGCAAGUUCCAUUGGUGCUAACAGUGAGCGUGUGGUGGUGCCAACUUUGGAAAAAGCCAUUCAAAGGAUGCAGGCUAAGAAAAAGAAAAAACCUUGGGUUUGA